UCUGAAGCAGUUUAUGAUGUUCUUGGCCAAUCCAAUGUCAGCAUGAGUGGAAUUGAGGGGAGCUUCGAUUCAACCCUUUUACAGGUCAUGGACAUAUCAAACAGAAGUCAGGAAGCUGCUGUCGUUGAAGCUGAAGCCUGCUUCCCCCUGGAUGUGCUAGCCUCACCCCAGCCCAGCUGUGCAGCUACUGCAGCAUUCUCCACUCAAGUUCUAC
rnacentral:misc_RNA from 1 species